UACGGAGGGUGCGAGCGUUGUCCGGAAUCACUGGGCGUAAAGGGCGCGUAGGCGGCGCGGAUAGUCGGCGGUGAAAGCCCGGGGCUCAACCCCGGGUCGGCCGUGCGAACUGCUGGGCUGGAGCACUGUAGAGGCAGGUGGAAUUCCGGGUGUAGCGGUGGAAUGCGUAGAGAUCCGGAAGAACACCGGUGGCGAAGGCGGCCUGCUGGGCAGUAGCUGACGCUGAGGCGCGACAGCGUGGGGAGCAAACAGG
rnacentral:rRNA from 1 species